rnacentral:tRNA from 1 species
GGGGUUGUAGCUCAGGUGGUAGAGCGCUGCGUUCGCAAUGCAGAGGUCGUGAGUUCGAAUCUCAUCAGCUCCACCA